AUUGAACGCUGGCGGCAGGCCUAACACAUGCAAGUCGAGCGGAUGAAGGGAGCUUGCUCCUGGAUUCAGCGGCGGACGGGUGAGUAAUGCCUAGGAAUCUGCCUGGUAGUGGGGGAUAACGUCCGGAAACGGGCGCUAAUACCGCAUACUUCCUGAGGGAGAAAGUGGGGGAUCUUCGGACCUCACGCUAUCAGAUGAGCCUAGGUCGGAUUAGCUAGUUGGUGGGGUAAAGGCCUACCAAGGCGACGAUCCGUAACUGGUCUGAGAGGAUGAUCAGUCACACUGGAACUGAGACACGGUCCAGACUCCUACGGAAGGCAGCAGUGGGGAAUAUUGGACAAUGGGCGAAAGCCUGAUCCAGCCAUGCCGCGUGUGUGAAGAAGGUCUUCGGAUUGUAAAGCACUUUAAGUUGGGAGGAAGGGCAGUAAGUUAAUACCUUGCUGUUUUGACGUUACCAACAGAAUAAGCACCGGCUAACUUCGUG
rnacentral:rRNA from 1 species